AAAGCGUGCGCAGGCGGUUGUGCAAGACCGAUGUGAAAUCCCCGGGCUUAACCUGGGAAUGGCAUUGGUGACUGCACGGCUAGAGUGUGUCAGAGGGGGGUAGAAUUCCACGUGUAGCAGUGAAAUGCGUAGAGAUGUGGAGGAAUACCGAUGGCGAAGGCAGCCCCCUGGGAUAACACUGACGCUCAUGCACGAAAGCGUGGGGAGCAAACAGGAUUAGAUACCCUAGU
rnacentral:rRNA from 1 species